rnacentral:rRNA from 1 species
GCUAUUGGAGUUCGAUUAAGCCAUGCGAGUCGAGAGUCUUAGGGACUCGGCGUACCGCUCAGUAACACGUGGGUAACCUGCCCUAUGCUGGGGAAUAACCUCGGGAAACUGAGAAUAAUGCCCCAUAGUCCACAAUGCCUGGAACGGUUUGUGGAUCAAAGCUCCGGCGGCAUAGGAUGGGCCUGCGGCGUAUCAGGUUGUAGGGGGUGUAACGUACCCUCUAGCCAUCAACGCGUACGGGUGUUGGGAGACAUAGCCCGGAGAUGGAUUCUGAGACACGAAUCCAGACCCUACGGGGUGCAGCAGGCGCGAAAACUUGGCAAUGCGAGAAAUCGUGACCAGGGAACUCCAAGUGGCUGGGGUAAGACCCAGUCUUUUCUUGACUCUUCAAAGGUCUUGGAAUAAGGGGUGGGUAAGGACGGUGCCAGCCGCCGCGGUAAUACCGGCGCCUCAAGUGGUAGUCGAUUUUAUUGGGCCUAAAACGUCCGUAGCCUGUUUGGUACAUUCGUGGGUAAAUCAACCAGCUCAACUGGUUGAAUUCUGCGAGCACGGCCAGACUUGGGACCGGGAGAGGUGUGGGGUACGCUCAGGGUAGGGGUAAAAUCCUGUCAUCCUGAGCGGACCACCUGUUGCGAAGGCGCCACACUAGAACGGAUCCGACGGUCAGGGACGAAGCCCAGGGGCACGAACCGGAUUAGAUACCCGGGUAGUCCUAGGUGUAAACGCUGUGGACUUGGUGUUGGGGACUCUCCGAGAUUCCUCAGUGCCGAAGCGAAGGUGAUAAGUCCACUGCCUGGGGAGUACGGUCGCAAGGCUGAAACUUAAAGGAAUUGGCGGGGGAGCACCGC